GACGAACGCUGGCGGCGUGCUUAACACAUGCAAGUCGAACGGAAAGGCCCUGCUUUUGUGGGUUGCUCGAGUGGCGAACGGGUGAGUAACACGUGAGUAUCCUGCCCUUGACUUUGGGAUAACUUCAGGAAACUGGGGCUAUUACCGGGUAGGAGCUCCUGCUGCAUGGGGGUGGUUGGAAAGUUUCGGCGGUUGGGGAUGGACUCGCGGCUUAUCAGCUUGUUGGUGGGGUAGUGGCUUACCAAGGCUUUGACGGGUAGCCGGCCUGAGAGGGUGACCGGCCACAUUGGGACUGAGAUACGGCCCAGACUCCUACGGGAGGCAGCAGUGGGGAAUAUUGCACAAUGGGCGGAAGCCUGAUGCAGCAACGCCGCGUGCGGGAUGACGGCCUUCGGGUUGUAAACCGCUUUCGCAUGUGACGAAGCGUGAGUGACGGUAAUGGGUAAAGAAGCACCGGCUAACUACGUG
rnacentral:rRNA from 1 species